UACGGAGGGGGCUAGCGUUGUUCGGAAUUACUGGGCGUAAAGCGCACGUAGGCGGCUUUGCAAGUCAGAGGUGAAAGCCCGGGGCUCAACCCCGGAAUUGCCUUUGAGACUGCAUCGCUAGAAUUGUGGAGAGGUAAGUGGAAUUCCGAGUGUAGAGGUGAAAUUCGUAGAUAUUCGGAAGAACACCAGUGGCGAAGGCGGCUUACUGGACACAUACUGACGCUGAGGUGCGAAAGCGUGGGGAGCAAACAGG
rnacentral:rRNA from 1 species